UAUUAAAGAGGCAGGUGAGCGUUUAUUUCAUGGUUUUAUUAUAAUUAUUUAUUUUAUUAUUUGUUGUGUUUUUUGGUUUCACAAGCUUUAAUUAUUUGAAUUCAAGGAUGUGCUGCUGGUAUGAGGUAUCUACAAAGCAGUAUGCUAGCAUAAUGCCCUUGAUGAUUUGCUUUCUUUGGGGAUUGAAUGGAUACAUUCAUAUAAUGUGGUUGAAGAUGUAUCUUCGCUUCUGAAGUUGGUUCAAGCAAUCUCAAUGAAAUUACAGUUGCAUUUUGCUAGAGAAAGGAAAAAAAAAAUG
rnacentral:misc_RNA from 1 species